rnacentral:lncRNA from 1 species
UGGUGUGUUGGCUAUUCACAGCAAGGCUAGUUAGUUUGACUUCACGUUCCCUUGAUCUUUAGCCAUUCAGAUCCUUGCUGUGUAUGCUGGCUAUUGUAGAUUCAAAUUUGCUGUUUGGAAUAGGAUACACCUAAAUAGAAUCUAUCGACCUUGGUAGAAAAGGAGAAGUCCUAUGUGAUUUGCAAGACUGAGUUCAGAAAAUCUUUGGCCAGAGUAAGUGUGAAUACUGAAAAAAAAAUUAUUGGAUUCACAGAUGAAGUUGAGUCGAGCCAAUCUGGCAUAUGACUGAUGAUGGGAUUUGACGAGUUCUUUAUGACCUCCAUCUAGUCGGGACUCACGAUAGAGGGAUUGUAUCACAUGAUAACUGCACCUAGGAGUUCAUCUUUUUUUUGUUGGAUUACCAUUAUAUGCUACUAGACAUCAUCGAUGGAUUGUGAGAAC